AACAGAUAACAGAGUUUUGAAAAUUUGCAUAAUAAUUAUGUACAUGACUAUUAUUUUAUAAACCACUAUAAUUUUAAUUCGUGUUUUUACUGUUGGUUAUGGUAUUAGUUAUAAAAUGAAGUAGCAAUAAUGUAGCAUACCUAAUAAAAAAAUCUUUAUUAUAACAAGAAAGAAACUGACUUAUAUGUUGAUAACAAUAGCAUUAGGCUACUACUGCCCAUAUCGUACCUAUAUUUUGAGUUUUCUGUGGAGAACGAAUGGCUCAAGUUAAUGAAGCUAAUGAAAUAUCAAGAACCUACCAAAAAUAAAAAUGCCAUUUAUGUCUGCCUGUCACCACAUAGAAAGCUUUCCGAAAAUCACAACUCCUUGGUAAGUAGUUCCUCACUUUACUUGAUUAUUGGUUUAUAUAGUGUCCCAAAAAGGAUGUUAAGUUUUUAGAAUUACUGUGAAGGUAGUGAUUUCAAUGUUUUAAUGUUUCUACACAUCCAAGUCUCUAUUGUUCAAUUAGAUUAUCAUAUUGUCCAAAUUAGUCUCACGUUUAUUGUCCAAUUGAGGAUACAUCAUAAUUAAGAGAUAUAUUAGGGUGAAGAGUUCUGACUGAGGCCUAUAGCUGAAUUAUGCCACCUGAUUGAACGUCUGGCACUUUGAAGCACUGAUAUGUUAAAAGUCUGAAGUCACUAUGUUAAACGUACAUACUGCAUCAGAAUAAGUGCUUGACUUUCAAUUCAGUGGUUUUAUUCAGCUUGAGACCUUGGUUACAGCUUUUUUCAAUAAAACCUCUCAAAUUACCUAGUUAAAUAAGAUGUUCUCUUGAAUUGGAUAAUUUGACAUACUCGGAAAUGUAAAAAUAUCAAUGUUGUUACAAUUGAAUUGUUUAAAUUAAUUUGCAUUUUAUAUUAUUUGUAAAAAUAUAUUGGAAUUUACAGUUUCAAGAAGUUUUAUCGAUCAUCUGCAUUUCUUCACGUGAAUAACAAACGAAGGCACGCUACACUACUGCAAAUAAGUAUUUUACAGAUAUCAAAGAAAGCGGUGAAAAGAAUGAAGUUUUUGAUCCUUGAGGUGUCCUUAUGCGCGUCUCUCCUCUAGGAAAUACUGGAAUGAAGUGCAUCUAACGUG